UACAGAGGUCUCAAGCGUUGUUCGGAUUCAUUGGGCGUAAAGGGUGUGUAGGUGGCGCGCUAAGUCGGGUGUGAAAUUUCGGAGCUUAACUCCGAAACUGCAUUCGAUACUGGCGUGCUUGAGGACUGGAGAGGAGACUGGAAUUCAUGGUGUAGCAGUGAAAUGCGUAGAGAUCAUGAGGAAGACCAGUGGCGAAGGCGGGUCUCUGGACAGUUCCUGACGCUGAGGCACGAAAGCCAGGGUAGCAAACGGG
rnacentral:rRNA from 1 species